GAACGCUGGCGGCGUGCCUAAUACAUGCAAGUCGAACGGCUUUUCUAUGGAAGCUUGCUUCCACUGAGAAGAUAGUGGCGAACGGGUGAGUAACACGUGGGUAACCUGCCCAUAAGAGGGGGGAUAACAUCCGGAAACGGGUGCUAAUACCGCAUAGUUUUCUUGAUCGCAUGAUUGAGAAAGGAAAGACGGCCUUUGUGCUGUCGCUUAUGGAUGGACCCGCGGCGUAUUAGUUAGUUGGUGAGGUAACGGCUCACCAAGACGAUGAUACGUAGCCGACCUGAGAGGGUGAUCGGCCACAUUGGGACUGAGACACGGCCCAAACUCCUACGGGAGGCAGCAGUAGGGAAUCUUCCGCAAUGGACGAAAGUCUGACGGAGCAACGCCGCGUGAGUGAAGAAGGUUUUCGGAUCGUAAAACUCUGUUGUCAGAGAAGAACAAGUUGGAGGGUAACUGCUCCAGCCUUGACGGUAUCUGACCAGAAAGCCACGGCUAACUACGUGCCAGCCGCCGC
rnacentral:rRNA from 1 species